GUGCACGCUGGCGGUAGGCCUAACACAUGCAAGUCGAACGGCAGCACAGUAAGGGCUUGCUCUUACGGGUGGCGAGUGGCGGACGGGUGAGGAAUACAUCGGAAUCUACUUUUUCGUGGGGGAUAACGUAGGGAAACUUACGCUAAUACCGCAUACGACCUACGGGUGAAAGCAGGGGAUCUUCGGACCUUGCGCGAUUGAAUGAGCCGAUGUCGGAUUAGCUAGUUGGCGGGGUAAAGGCCCACCAAGGCGACGAUCCGUAGCUGGUCUGAGAGGAUGAUCAGCCACACUGGAACUGAGACACGGUCCAGACUCCUACGGGAGGCAGCAGUGGGGAAUAUUGGACAAUGGGCGCAAGCCUGAUCCAGCCAUACCGCGUGGGUGAAGAAGGCCUUCGGGUUGUAAAGCCCUUUUGUUGGGAAAGAAAAGCAGCAGGUUAAUACCCCGCUGUUCUGACGGUACCCAAAGAAUAAGCACCGGCUAACUUCGUG
rnacentral:rRNA from 1 species